AUAGCUUCUUGGCCUUUUGGCUAAGAUCAAGUGUAGAAAUAACAUGACCAAUUUAUUUCACAUACAUUUUCCUUUUAUCAAUGCAAAUAUCAUUU
rnacentral:snRNA from 1 species